CUAAGUUUGAUGGCGACCGGCGCACGGGUGAGUAACACGUAUCCAACCUGCCGAUGACUCGGGGAUAGCCUUUCGAAAGAAAGAUUAAUACCCGAUGGCAUAGUUCUUCCGCAUGGUGGAACUAUUAAAGAAUUUCGGUCAUCGAUGGGGAUGCGUUCCAUUAGUUUGUUGGCGGGGUAACGGCCCACCAAGACUACGAUGGAUAGGGGUUCUGAGAGGAAGGUCCCCCACAUUGGAACUGAGACACGGUCCAAACUCCUACGGGAGGCAGCAUG
rnacentral:rRNA from 1 species